AUGCAGUCGAGCGAAUGGAUUAAGAGCUUGCUCUUAUGAAGUUAGCGGCGGACGGGUGAGUAACACGUGGGUAACCUACCCAUAAGACUGGGAUAACUCCGGGAAACCGGGGCUAAUACCGGAUAAUAUUUUGAACUGCAUAGUUCGAAAUUGAAAGGCGGCUUCGGCUGUCACUUAUGGAUGGACCCGCGUCGCAUUAGCUAGUUGGUGAGGUAACGGCUCACCAAGGCGACGAUGCGUAGCCGACCUGAGAGGGUGAUCGGCCACACUGGGACUGAGACACGGCCCAGACUCSUACGGGAGGCAGCAGUAGGGAAUCUUCCGCAAUGGACGAAAGUCUGACGGAGCAACGCCGCGUGAGUGAUGAAGGCUUUCGGGUCGUAAAACUCUGUUGUUAGGGAAGAACAAGUGCUAGUUGAAUAAGCUGGCACCUUGACGGUACCUAACCAGAAAGCCACGGCUAACUACGUGCCAGCAGCCGCGGUAA
rnacentral:rRNA from 2 species